rnacentral:lncRNA from 1 species
AUGGGGACUUUCUGUUCCUCCUGGAGGCAGCAGCCUCGGACGGAAACUUGCUUAGGUGCAAGGCCCAAGCUCGAAAGAGGCAACUCUUCUGCACGUGAGUCAGAAGUCUACAGAGAGGAGAAGAGAACCCGAAAAUCAAGGUGCUUUCAUCCAUCCGGAGCCGUCUGCACGGGAGAGCUGGUCGGUGGAAAGAAUCCCGGAACCGGGGCCAAGAAACCUGGUCCUGCUGCAGCUGCGAGCUCCACUUGGCUGGCCUUCCGUCCCUCACCUCCCCAGGCCUCGGCUCCUGCCUCUUCCAAGUGGAGCACACAGACCCCGCUGGGCAUGUGCAAAGGCUCAGAGGCCAGCAGAGCAAGCAGGAGAAGCAUAUGGAGGGAGGAGGUUAUUGACUCAACCUUAAAUCCGAAGCCAGCCUAACCAGAGAGAAAGGGAAAGGUAUUCCAGAAAGGGCUGUGUAGCUCCAGCAACAUAUAGUCCCCAAAAGUAAUGGGGAGCAGAACGGCCAGGCCAGGCAAGCAGGCAAGCAGUGCAGCCGCUGAGAAGGGGAGUGCAGAGGGGAGACCCCGGGGGAGGUGGUUUAUAAAGCAGCAUAGCACGAUCCCUUGUCAUCCUCACAGCCACAUGGGGAGGAAAUGUCUGUGUUUCUCCUUGUGUAGGGGAGUGCAGGAAGCCAGAAGAGAAGAUGUCUGAAGGCAUCCGGCAUGGGCUGGGGCCUGAGCGGGCCCCAAGACCUCCAUCCCCUGAUGCUCAAUCUGCUUUUCAUUGUCACGGAAUUAUCACGAGGCCAGAUUUGUAGGGCCUUGAAUAAUAAGAAAAAGACUUGGGAUAGUAGCUUACGGGCCAUAGGGAGCCCCCACACGUCUUUGGGCAGAAGAAUAACCAGGAAUGAGCAUAGGAGGCUAGAGGGUGAUGGGAGAAAUGCAGGCCAGGCCUACUUGGGAAGAAUAUUUAAAUUUAGUAAAAGGGUCCAUUCAGGGCCCUAGGAGGGUUUGUCUUGGAGAAGCAGAGUUACAGGUUGUCCAUUGGGCCUCCGGGGGGUCCCGGGGGCAUGCCCCAAGGGCUGUGGGAACUGAACUCUGGCUCCAGAAUGAUGCUGCAGGGACCCAACCUAAGCUCACAGCCAAACCCCCACCCCCGAGGCUUUACUCCUGCCUAAUUGGCUUAGAUUUAUCAAAGUAAUUUUUAAGGGGGAAUUUUAUAUGAAGGUAAUUACGCUCAGCUGAACUAAUUUUAUUAAACAAUGCUGCCUUAAUGACAAACAAAUCUGUUAUUAAUUUGUAACCAAGCAGCUAUUCCAUUCAAUUUGCGGCAUCAGUAAUGAGCCCUGUGGCCGGAACAGCCCAGAAGCGCCCCUUUCCGAGGAAGGCAGCACGGCCCGGAGGCCAGAAGCCCAGCCCUGGGACCCUCUGUGCCGUGGACAUGUGUGUGCCUCCCACCGCACCCUCCCUCUCCGGGCC